rnacentral:lncRNA from 1 species
GACAUACCGUAGCAUUGAACAUCGUGCAAUUGUGAACUCUAUACAAGAAAGACUUUCCAUUGCCACAUUUUACACAAAGAGAUUAGAUGGCGAAAUAUAUCCAGCAUCCAGUUUGAUAUCUGAAAAAACUCCUGCAUUGUUUCGAAGAGUGACAGUUGAAGAAUACUUUAGGAGCCGGUUUGCUCGUGAGCUUAGGGGAAAAUCUCACCUGGAUGACCUGAGAAUUCAACAUGGUCGAGGCUAGUACAAUUAUUUUGGAUAAUUGCAGAUUUGUGCCAGGAAUUUUCUGAUGAUAAUUGUGCUUAUUUUGGAUCAGUUUCUUUCAUUUUUGGAAUAGAAUUUUUGCAGGCUUGUCAUGUUUUUAUCAGAUUUCAAGAACUAUUUCACUUGCUUUCGGAGUUAAAGAUGAUUCAAAUAUGAUAUUAAAUACUUAAGCAUGCCAUUCUAACGCUUGCUUGUCCAAUUACAUCCUUAUCAACAAUAUAUUUUGUUACAAUGUCACUGAAGUUGAAUAGAUAACAACAUGCUUGGGUUAUAUGUUGUCAUUUGGCUUAACCAUCCGUCACAUUAAGCAGAUUGUUGUGAUAAUGUGUUUUACAACCUUCCCCAGUAGCAUGAAUGUAGUUAAAAUAAUUGUAACAAAUUUUGUAUUGCUUGUAGCAACAUUGUUCUCCAUAGCACACAUUGCCUGAGUACAAAAGUUGUAACUUGUUACCAAUAAUAAUAAUAAAAAAUAAUAAUAAUAGUAAUAAUAAUUAUCAAUAACUAAAAAUGAGACAGAUGUUACUUUCAUAAGUGGAACUUGGAUUCACAAGCAAAAUAUGAGGUUUUAAUUGGUUGUUAUCAGAAAAAAAUAUAAAGAUAAUUAAUGCCUAAACAUAAACAGCUAUAAUUGUAUAAAUGACUAAUCGAUUACAAUUCGAAUCCACUAUUUUCUUAAUAGUGCACAGUCAAUUCCAACACAGCACCAGAUUGCAGCGUGUUAGAAAAAUUUUUAGGUAAUCAUAUAUAUGUUUUAAUCAAUUAUGAUAAUAUGUUUACCCAUAUAUAAGAUUUGAAUAGAUAAAAAGUAAUACUCGAGAACCACCAAAGUCCUUUUAACUGCAGACACGCAAUGGUGGAUUACUCGCACAAGUCAAGAGCAAAAUACCAAGUUGUGAAAGAAAAAUAAAAAGGGGAAAAGAAAACAAAACGCAGUAUUGAAAAUACCUUCGCCUUUUGGGUUGAUGACAAGGUGGGAACCACAAAUAAUUAAUUGGCUGAUGGUUUGUCAUCGUUAUCCAUAGAGGAUAGUUUUGACCUGCGAAUAUUUUAUUUUGCAUUCGAAACAUGUGCAAAAAAUUAAAAAUACUUCAUGAAUGGUUAGGUGGAGGAUGCUGAUUAAUUACUUGGAAAAAGAUUCCUUUUUACUUUUGUGAUUGUCAGCACUCAGUCUUGUUCCAAAACCAAUACAAAGCUGCAGCAAUCUUGAAAGGAUUUGAGGAACAAAAGAUGGCCCAGAUUGGAAGUUCUCUCCUUGUGCCUUGUGUUCAAGAGUUGGUCAAGAAUCCGGCGUUAGUUGUCCCCGACAGAUACAUACGUCCAGAUCAAGAUUCACCCCUCAUUUCUGAUGAUAUUUUGAUUUCACAGAUACCAGUUAUUGACAUGCAAAGCUUACUUUCUAAAGAAUCAAUGGAUUCUGAGUUAGCCAAGCUCGACUUCGCAUGCAAAGAAUGGGGUUUUUUCCAGGUAUAAUGCUUUAGCAAAGUUAGAAAAUUGUUUCGCCAGAACAUGCUUGUUUGUGAUCAAGAAUCGAGAAAUAUGCAAAUUGUCAAUCAAAUAGGCAAAAUUAAAAUUCAUAUUUAUUUCUUAAACCCACGUAUCAUUGAUGUUAGCAGAUCAUGGUUUCACUUUCCAGUGUUGUCUGUGGCUUAGGACUGCAGCUUGUGAAAAGAAGAACUUGUCUCUGGUUUAUUUAUUAUUGACUUUCUAUAUUGCUUUACCUUUUCUCCCUCCAGGCAUGGUUUAAUUAGCUAUUUCAUUCCUAAAUGUCAAACAGGCAAUAUGUAUUAAAAAGAUUGUCUUGAGAAAUUUCACCUCCUCUGCCUCAAUAGCUUUUGGUACCUUAUGAGAAAUAUGCUUCUGUCAAAAUUUUAAAAGAUAUACUAUAGUAAAUUGUGUAAGACCUCUUAGAAAAUGUACUCAUUUCUGUAGUCAAUGUUGCAAAUUUACUUUAAUUUAAAGACAAUUAGAAGUAACAUUGAGAUUAUUUGCUGUUGUAUGAUUUUUCAAAUUCUAGGUGUGAACAAACCACAAGAACUUUAUGCUCAUUAUAGUUAUUCUAGAAUAACCAAAAUUUCUCCGAUAGAAUGAGUAGAAAACACCUGUGGAAACUAAUUGUUGGGAAGAUUUAAAUGUAACAAAUGCUUUUAGCCAUCUUUAAUGGUAAAUCUUAUCUCUAAAUCAGUCAGAUAAGUUGCAAUCUGUCUUAAUAAAACACCUGGACUAUUGUGCGCUUAGUGGCACGAUUAUUAAAUCUUUGCUGCAUUUCGUUCCUGUAUUUUUUUCAGCUGGUAAAUCAUGGAAUGAGCACAGCAUUUCUAGAGAAAUUAAAGAAAGAGGUUGAGGGAUUCUUCAAUCUCAGCAUGGAAGAAAAGAAAAAAUAUUGGCAGCGUCCAGGAGAUAUGGAAGGAUUUGGACAAGCCUUUGUUGUAUCGGAGGAACAAAAGCUUGAUUGGGCUGACCUUUUCUCCAUGAUGACUCUUCCAGUUCAUCUGAGGAAACCACAUUUAUUUCCUAAGCUCCCUCCUUCCCUCAGGUUCUCUCUCUCUCUCUCUCUGUGUCAAUGUCAUUUUGAUUUGCAAACAAAUAAAGGAUAGUGCAUCUUCUUUUCCUGUAGAGAGACCUUGGAAGUUUACUCAAUGGAAUUAAAAACCCUAGCCGAGAACCUAAUAUCGAAAAUGGGAGAAGUGUUAAAUAUCAAAGAUGAAGAAAUGAUAGAAUUCUUUGAAAAUGGACUGCAAGGAAUGAGGAUGAAUUAUUACCCUCCAUGUCCUCAGCCCGAGAAGGUUAUGGGCCUGUCGCCGCAUUCUGAUGCAGCUGCACUUACCAUUCUGCUACAACUUAAUGAAGUGGAGGGUCUCCAGGUAAAGAAGGAUGGAAAGUGGAUUCCUGUUACCCCACUCCCGGAUGCUUUCAUUGUCAACAUUGGAGACACAUUGGAGGUAAUAAUUAUAAUAAAUUACCUUAACCUGGCAUUUUUAUGCGCUUGCUUAUGUGCUUUAAUAAUUUUUACAUGGCAGAUUAUAACCAAUGGGACAUACCGCAGCAUUGAGCAUCGUGCAGUUGUAAACUCUGUACAGGAAAGACUUUCCGUUGCCACAGUUUACUCAGUGAGAUAUGAUGGUGAAGUGUAUCCUGCCUCCAGUUUGAUCUCUGAAAAAACUCCUCCUUUGUUUAGAAGAGUGAGAAUUGAAGAAUACUUUAGGAGCCGGUAUGCUCGUGAGCUUAGGGGAAAAUCUCAGUUGGAUUCCCUGAGAAUUCAACAUGGUCAAGGCUAGUAUAAGUUUAUUUUGGAUAACUAAAGAGUUUGGUACAAAAACUCUUAAGGACCUUGCUAUUAAGAUUGGCGUGGAACUGAAAAUAAGAAAUAAGUUCUAUGAAUACUGUGGUAUAACCUGCUAUGCUAGGGUCGUUGUGUAGCUCUAUCAUUUGAGAUACUGAAUAGACCAUGUAAGAAUCUUAAGAAUUGCAGACUUAUGCCUGGAAUCUUCCGAUGAUAUAUGGUGGUGCUUAUAUCAGAUCAGUAUCUUUCUUUCUUGAAAUAGAAUUUUUGCAUACCUGACUUGUUUUUAAUGAGAUUUCAAGGACUAUAUGACUUGGUUUCAAAUUUUUAUGAUACAUACAGAUAAUAUUACCACAGAACCAGUGUAGUUUCUGUAUCAGCCGUUAUAGUUUUCAGUUAAUAGUAACAAGUUUUUGAUUUUUAACAAGAAUGUUGUCCUUCCACGUCUUAAAUAUUCCGUUCCAUAACACACAUUGUGACGAAUACAUAACUUGUUACCAUUGACGAAAAAUUUUGCCAUCAAUAGCUGAAAAUAGAUGUUAGUUACACAAGCUGCAAAGCUAUAACUUUGGAUUUCAUAUUCAGAUUGUCCCUCUCAAAGUUGAACUUGGAACUACGGUUGAUGAUCUGCUAUUAUGCUGAGAAAAAUACAAGAUUUUUUUUUUGGUUGUCAUCAGACAAUGUAAAAGAAAUUAGCAUGGGAUCCAAAUUCUUGAGAGUUUGAUAAGGCAAUGCACUAUAUUUUUUUAUAACUCGCAGCAGACAGCAGCACAACAGCAGACUGCAACUGUCAUAUUCACAAAAUAUCUAUGGGCCAACCCUAGACCCGCAAUGGUGGAUUAGUCUCACACAAGGCCACAGCAAAUAAUGACUUGUAGAAAAUAAUACAUUUUCAACAUUUGCUUUGUCAAUAAAAAUCUGUAGCAUUAUUGUUGAGAGAAUUUGUGCAACAAAAAGAAGGCCAAGUUCGGAGGUUCUCUGCCUGUGCCUUGUGUUCAAGAGUUGGCCAAGAAUCCUAUGUUAGCUAUCCCCCCAGGUACAUACCACCACGCUAAGAUUUAACCACAAUUUCUGAUAAUAAUUUGGAUUCACGGGUAUUGCAGAGCUUGUUUUCUGAAGAGUCAAUGGAUUCUGAGUUGUCCAGGCUCCACUUCGCUAGCAAAGAAUGGGCUUCUUUCCAGGUAAAGUCCUUUGCCAAGUUAUUAUUAUUUUGCUUUUAAAGGAUUUGCUUGGGAUGAGACCUCAUCUACUAAAUACCACCCUUUGUCCCAUAUUGUUACUCGAGCGCAGAUAUCUGCAAAUUGCGAAUUACAUUCACAACCAGCUAAGCUACACCUGCCGUGAGGCACCCAAGUUUGUACUUUUUCAUUUGGACAUGCUUGGUUUGUUAAUAGUAGUCUGGGGUCAAGAAUUAAGAAAUCUGUAUACUCUCAAUCAAAGAGCACAGUCGAUCAAAUUCAGAUUAGAUUAUGUUCCAUUCUUAUAGGUCAAGUAGGCCACAAAUUUGGCCUACUCUGUAUCAAUGCUUUCUUACACUGUAAGUUAGCAAUAAGAAAGCUGUAACAAAAUUUGAGUCUACGUAGUCUUAACCAAGCCGGUUUAAGCACUCUUUUUUUUAAAAAAAAAAACAUUGAGGGAUGUAACUGACCUUGUCCGAUUAUGGACCCAUCUAACUUGCUUUCUUGUAUGGCUGAGAAGAAAAACCUGCAUUCUUGAAAAUUAAAUUGUCUUUAAUAUCUUUCAGAUGUCUAGGCUUGCGGUAGCUUGAGAAGAACUAUAAGCAAAUUUAUGAUGGAGUAUAAUGCAAAUGCGAUUCUAUUAGUUUAUUGAAAUCUAACAAAUACUUUUAUUCAUCGCACUCAGUAAAUUUUGCCUGAAUUAGUCCAAUAAGUUGUACUCUGUCUCAGCAAAAUACCUUGACCAAAAUAAAAAACGUAGUGACACGAUUGUUAAUGUCUUAGCUGUUUUUCUGUUUCUGAAUUGUUUCAGCUGGUAAAUCAUGGAGUGAGCCCUGCAUUUCUAGAGAACGUAAAGAAAGAGAUUCCGGAAUUCUUCAAUCUAAGCAUGAAAAAAAAAAAAUUGGCGGUCUCCAGGAGCUGUGGAAGGAUUUGGACAAGCAUUUGUUGUAUCCGAGGAACAAAAGCUUGAUUGGAAUAACAUUUUCUUCAUGACAACUCUUCCAGUUCAUCUGAGGAAACCCCACUUGUUUCCUAAGCUCCCUCUUUUCCCCCUCAAGUUUCUCUCUCUCUAGGCAGUUAUUUGAUGAUUGCAAAUGUAUUAUGUUCAGAGAAAGAUCCCAAGUCAGUUAUAUUUAGCAAAAUUUGACAACCAAACAUGAUUUUGAAAGAAUACUGCUAAAUAAUAACUUAUUUAACAAUCCACCACAAUCAUGUACUAAACCUUCUAAUUGCGUCUUCUUUUUUCUUGUAGGAAAUUUUGGAAUUUAUUCAGUGGAGUUAAAAAUCUUUGGCCAUGAACCUGGUAUCGAAAAUGGGAAAAGUUUUAAAUAUCAAAGACGAAGAAUUGAGAGAAUACUUUGAAAAUGGUUUCCAAUCAAUGGGGAUGAACUAUUACCCUCCAUGUCCUUAGCCGGAGAAGGUUGUGGGCCUCACAACUCAUUGUGAUGACUCUGCUCUUACCAUUCUGCUGGAAAUCAAUGAAGUAGAAGGCCUCCAGAUCAAGAAGGAUGGAAAGUGGAUUCCUGUUACACCUUUCCCAAAUGCUUUCGUUGUCAACAUUGGAUAUGUGUUGGAGGUAAUUAUUAUGAUAAGUUAUUUUAACUUGACAUUCAUAUGAGCUAGCUAAUGUGUGCUUUCAUUAAUUCAUGUUGCUCCACUUCCUAAUGCUUUCAUUGGAGACACAUUGGAGGUAAUAAUUAUAGUAAAUUACUUAACUUGGCAUUUAUAUGCGCAUGCUCAUGUGCUUUAAUAAUUUUUACAUGGCAGAUUAUAACCAAUGGGACAUACCGUAGCAUUGAGCAUCAUGUAAUUGUAAACUCUGUACAAGGAAGACUUUCCAUUGGCACAGUUUACUCAGUGAGGUAUGAUGGUGAAAUGUACCCUGCGUCCAAUUUGGUCUCUGAAAAUACUCCUUCAUUGUUUAAAAGAGUGAAAGUUGAAGAAUAAUUUCAGGAAUCUGUGUGCUCGUAAGCUUAGGGGAAAAUCUCAUCUGGAUGCCUUGAGAAUUGAACAUGUUCAAGAUUAUUAUAAGUUUAUUUUGGAUAACUAAAGAGUGUAGUACAAAAACCGUGGGGGACCUUGCUAUUACAAUUGUGUGUGGAACUAAAAAUAAGAAAUAAGUGUAAGAACAAUAAAUCCUUUGGUGAAAAUCAUCACCUCAAUUUAGGAACAUGUAUGUUGUAUCACCAAAAAUUAAUAAUAGAAUAUGCGGCAGUGUACCUAAGUUCAUAAUGCACAAUUGCUCUUUAGAGCCGAGUAGUUUGUCUUCCAAAUAAACAUGUUCUCCUAAAGAAUUCUUUAAACUUCUCUAUACUGUCUCUUUAAUGAUGAGAUGUCAAUAGAGAAUAGAACAAUACGUGUGACCUAUGGAUAAUAACUACUUAUAUAUAUAGAUUUUCCUUUUGUUUUUAGGUAUUCUUAUUUCAACCCAUUAUAAAAAUCAAAAUUAGUCUUAAGUCUCUAUACAUUAAAGGCCCACAAUCUAUUAGAUACAUUAAAACCCAAAUUACCGAAAACCUUAAUAGACCAAUUUUAAUUUGGCUUAGAGUUAGACUAUUGGCACCCCUCCAAAAUUCUUCUAAAACCCCUUUUUCAAUAAUGCUAAGCUUAAUGCCAAAAAUACCCUUAUUUCUAAAUAAACACAUUUAAUUUGUGAAUCUUUUAAUUUUUAUUAUUUUCUCGCUCCUCACAAACAAAAUUUUAUGGGUGAUAAGUUUCUUGAUAAAAAUCAAUUAAUAAAAUAAAAUAUCUGUAAGAUUAUAAUGUAAAAAGUUUUAUUAUGAGCCUUAAAAAAAGGUAGAUAAUUUUUUCAAAAUGUGUUUUGUUUAUUAUCAAUAGAUUGUCUUAGUAAUUGAAGAAAAAUUUACAGAGAAUUUGAGAAAAAAAUUACAUGUGUGAGUUUGAUGGCAGAGAAAAUACAAGAGCUUUUUUUUUAAGAGAGAAAAUACAAAAGUUUGAAGUGAGAUAAAAUAGAUGUGAGAUAUAUUAGAGUAUUUGUCCUUAAAUGUAAUUGUAAUAGAAGAGGAAGUUUAAAAGGAUUUUGAAGGGGUGUCAAUAGUCCAACUCUUUGGCUUAAUCUUAUAUGACAAUUCACAUCAUAUAAUUAUUCACAUAUAAGCGCAACAUUGGAUCAAGGAUCCAACCAUACCAGAUUAAAGAUCCAACAACCUUUCACUUGGACUAUAUAUAUAACUUUGUAAUUAUACUUUACAAAAAUAACUAUAUGAGGUCAACUUUACUGUCAUUACCAAAAUGCAUCUAUAGCCAAUUCGGUCCAUCUAUCAUACCAACAUAGGAUCAAAAUGACCUUUAUUACAAAUAUCGUAACUUGACCCAUCAAUGCUCACUAUGCCAGCAUAACUUAAUGACAUAGAUCAUGAUAUGGUGUAGGAUGGAAAUUUUAUGUAAUGUGAUUUCAACAUGCCUAUUUUCAAUUGAUCCACCUUAAACAUUAGUGAGAUCAAAUUAUACAAAAUUAGAGUGUAAAUAAACCAAAAUUUUAUUUCUGUAGAAAAUAGCCUUAAAUAUCCCCAAACCGAAAAAUGUUUAUAUCAUAAAAGCAUUUAAAAGUUACAAACUCCCAUUAAAAAUGAAUAUCAAUAUCCUUUAAUGACAUGACACCCAUAUGAACAAUGUGCUCAUGAAACAUUUUAAAUGACAUUCCCUUAGUAAACGGAUCUGUAAUCAUGGAGUUUGUACCAUUAUACUUUAUAGACAAUUGUCCACUCUGAAUUCCUUAGGAACUUGAUGUCUAUAUACUGUGACAUCGUUGAGCUCUUAUUGUUAUUGGAAUAUAGCACUGCUGACUUAUUGUCACCAAAUAACUUAAGUGGUCUAUCAUAAGGGUGUCAAAAAAGCCUGCCCGGACCGGACCCGGCCCCCGGACCGCAUGCACAUAAAAACCGGACCCAGGUUUGAAAUUCUCAAACCCGGACAUUUCCGGGCCCGGGUCCGGGUUCAACACCAAAAACCCGGAACCCGGACCGGACCCGGUUUUUUAAUAAAUUUUUUUAAAAAAUAUAUAAAUAUAUAAUUAUGAAUUUAUGAUAUGUUGGAUGUUAUUUAAAUUUAUUGUGUGAUUAUUGUGUUGUUGAAUUUAAUUUAUUUAUUUUAUAUAUAGAUUGAAUGAGUUUAAGUUAGAAAUUGGAUGAAUUUAGGUAUUAGAAAGUGGAUUGAAAUAAUUUUAAUUUAUCAUUUGUGCAAAAUUUGCAUUGUUAGUGUGUUAUAUAUUUGUAUUUGACUAUUUGCUUUUUUAAAGUUUGAGAUUGAAUGAGUUUAUUUGAUUAUUUUCUUUUUUUAAAUUUGCAUUGUUAGAGAAAUGAAAGAAAAAAUUGAAGAAAAAAAUUGAAGUUAUCACAUGCGGGUUUAGAAAGCCCGGAUCAAAACCCGGACCCGGAAGGUGCCGGGCUCAACCCCGGACCGCACCCGAAAAAAUUGGGUUUUAACCCGGGUUCGGUCUUGUAUUUCUCUCAUCCAGUCCCGGGCAACACCAAAACCCGGACCGGACCCAAAUUUUGUCAAGCCUAGUCUAUCAAUACUAUUUAAAAUGAGUAAUUCUAUGACGAAAUUUUGUAGCCAUAUUCCUUGAUUGGAUAUUUCGUAACAUGCUGUGAACUCCGCUGCUAUAGUAGAAAAGGCUAUAAGAGACUGUUUAGCACUCUUUCAGGAAACAACACCCCUAGCCAGUAGCUAGAUGUAACCAAAAGUAGAUUUCAUAUUAUCUUGGGAUCUAACAAAAUCAGAGUUAGCAUAAUGAUCUCAAGCUGAUCUAACUUUCGAUGUAGUCUUUUGUUCUCUGUAAGUAUCGCAAGACCCGUUUGGCUGUUUCCCAAUAGUUUACCCCUGGAUUACUUAAAUAUCUAUCCAACAUUCCAGUAAUGUAUGCAAUAUUCAGUUGCGUACAAACCUAAACAUACAUCAGACUUUCUAUUACUGAUGUAUAAGGAAUCUUCUACAUUUUUUAUUCCUUAAAAUCAUCAUUAGGGCACUAAUUGUGUAACAUCCAUUAUUUUUGUUUUAUUUAUUUAUUUUUUAUUAUUUUACUACUACUACUACUACUACUACUACUACUACUACUACUACUACUACUAUUAUUAUUAUUAUUAUAUCUAUUUUAGAGAAUAUAGUAUUUUAGGCUAAUGAUUUUAAGCGUGUUUUAAUUUUUCUUUAUUUAUUUGAUUUACCAAUUUAGUAAAUACCUUAUUAAAAAAGGAAAUAAAUUCCUAAAUAGGUAAGGGUGUUAAAAGGCUUGGCUUUAUAAAAGCUUCUCUUGCGUUGUUUUAUUUCUCAAAAUCCUAGAGGCUGAAUACAACAACACACACAAGAGUAAACCUUUUUUUUUUAAGAAGAGAAGUAGAUUUUGAUUGGUUUUUUUCUUUUCCAUAAAGAAAUUCUUGAGUUUUGAAUUUGUUUUGAAGGAUUUAGCCUUCUGGUUUUAUUUGUGAUUUUAUGUGAUUGAUUGAAUGAUUUUGUGUGUAUUACAUUGAUAAAAUUGUGAAAGCAUGAUCAUCUAUUGAUUUAUGUUGUUAUUGAGUGAAAGUGGUGCUAUUAUUUUAUCUUGAAAACAGUGAACAACAUAGAUUCAAUGUUUUAUGACUGCUGUUUUCAUUAAGUCUCAUGCAUAAAAUUUUAUAAUUUAUUAAACUAGACAUCUUUAUCUUUCUAUUUAUAUGUUUAUCGUUCAAAACUCAUUGUAUAUUAAUUUUUUUGAUUUUUCAAAAUUGGAACACUAGUGUUGGAAAAUUCCAAUUUUCAGCAGCAGUUCUCGUUACUAUAAUUUAUUUGGUAACUCAAACGAUUUCUGAAAAUUCUAGGAACGUUUUUCAUUUUACACAUAUAUGUCUAGUUUCUGUAUACUUAAAUUCCUAAUUUUUGGCUUUAUAUAAAAAUAAUUAAAAAUCAUAGAGCUAGGCUACCGUAAUAUUGGAAAUUGUUUUCUAGAAUUGCGAGGGUUGAUAUUGAAGCGAGUUUGGGUUACUUUUUCAUAGUGAAUGCUAGGGGUGGGCAAAAUACCCGACCCGAUCCGACCCGAAAAAAUUCGGGUUCGGGUCGGUUCGGGUUGUUAUUGAAACCCGAACGGGUGAAAAAUUGCAAACCCGAUCGGGUUGUGAUUGGGUCGGGUAAAACCCGAUCCGAUCCGAAUACCCGAUCGGGUCGCACAAAAAAAAAAAAUCACUAAACCUAUAAACACAUCACACAUGCACACACCAGACACCAGACACCACACACACGGCCAUGCAAAGUUACAACUCAAAAAGUCACAAAAACAAGUGGCUAAAAAAAUAUUGACAAAUAAAAAACAAAAUAUAAUUAUAACCCACGCACACAGGCCACAGCCACACACAAACAUUGAAACAUAUCUUCGCUGCCUUCACAGCCCUCAUCCCCACAGCCCUCAUCCUUACACUCACAACUUCACACACACACACAAAUAUCGCAAAAGCCAAAAGCAAAGCGGCAGCUAGCAGCCAACGCAGAGAAGAGAACGGAGGAAGCGCAGCCAGUGCAUGCAGCCACCUAACCCGUGACUGGAUCUACUGCUCCGCGACAUCCGUAGCUACCAGAUCUGCUGUUGCCGGAUAUCUACAGGAUCUGUUGCUGCUGGAUCCGCUGCGCUGCUAUCGGAUCUGCUGUUGCAGCCUCCACCAUCACCGAGUUCCACCGCGAAGGUGCGAACCGGCAACUCGAAUUCUUUUCUUUUUUUGAUGUUUUGAUGGGAUAUAAUAAUAUAUUAUAUAUUAUCUGUUAAUUGCUAAGUAUAUGUAUUGUUAAAUGUUAAUAAUAAAAUGAGGGAAAUUCUUGUAUGGAAAGUUUUGGAGUUUAAUUUAUUAAGUCUGUGGAAGCUUAAAUAAUAAGUAUGAAUUGAUUUCUUUUUUUUUGUUUUGUUUUUAAUGAAUAGAUUAAGCAAAUUAAGCAUUAAAAUUAAAUAUUUUGCAUUUGAUCUGUGCAAUGUUUCACCCGAUCCGAAUUAACCCGAAUUUAACCCAAUUAUUUGACCCGAUCCGAUCCGAUCCGAAUAUAUUCGGAUCGGGUUACAACUUCGGGUUGAGUUCGGAUGAAUUCUUUUCUAACCCGAUCAACCCGAAAUCCAAUCGGGUUGAUCCGAACCCGACCCGAACCCAAAAAUGCCCACCCCUAGUGAAUGCCUUAUAAAUUUAACUUUUAUAUUCAAUGCAAACGUGUUCACAAUAGUUUUUUGUAAUAUUUUUGAUUUUUCUGACAUAAUUAUAGCUUGUUAGAAAUUAACUCUUACAAGACGAUCGAGUGUAGUUUAGUGAAUUGAUGUGCUUUAGUAAGAGUAAAUGGUUUAAGGAUAUUUUGGCUUUCUUAUCAACGUCAAAAUUGAAAAAAAAAAUUGAUAAGAAUCUUAUCUUGAUAAUUAUAGGCCAAGAACGAGCUCGUGUGAUUGGGGUUAUUGUUGAUUGCUUCGUAUUGAGUUAAGUGAACUCAUGCAUAAUGUUUAUUAUAGUUAUAUAUGUAAAUAUCUAGAAAAGAAUAAUGUUAUUCAUAUAAAUUGACAUUUUAUGGUUUUGAAGUUAUUUUACUCUUAUAUUUUAUGAUAAUAAAUAAUGUUUUGAUUAAAACUUUAUUUAAAAUAUUUUCUUAAACUAUUUAAAAAAUAACUUUAAAAUAAUUGUCUUUCCAUAAAUUGGUCUUCCUUAAAAAUAUUUGUUAAGCUUGCCAAUUCAAUGUCUUAUAAGAGCAUUUUAUCAUAAUAUUACUGAAUGAUUGAUAUUGAAAGACUGAAAUUGUAUUUAAGAUUUUGGCUCAUUAACCGUAGUUAUUGUUGCUGAUAUAACCGAACAUUUAACUAUAUUGUGCGCACCUAUUGAUGAUUAUAGUUGGGUAACGUACCCUAAUUGAACUACUAACCGAGUCAUCGGGGUUAUAGGUGACUUACUAAACUAAUACCGGGUCAUUAGGGUUAUAGGUGACUUAUUGAACCACUGGCCGGGUCACCGGAAGUACAGGCGACACUAUAUGACAUGAGCAAUUGAAUAAAUGAAUGGUUAUAUUGAUAAAUGAUUUCCGAAAUGAUUAUUUAUUAAAAAUGGUUAUUACAUUAUGAUUUAACUAAUUAUAAGUUUUAAUGUACACUUAUGGUACUUUAUAAUGAUUGUUUUGUAUUUUAUCGUUAUUAGUAACCUUAUGCAUGAGUUAGUGUUGAGUGUUAGAAAAUGCAUAUUUAUAAAGGAGAAAAUUGUCAUUUUACAUUUCAUGUCUUACUAACAGCCCUUACUUUUAUGUAUUUAAGCUUCUUGUAAUUUAAUUAUGUGUGUUUUAUUUUAAUUAAGUAUUUUAUGUAUUUUAGGGGCAUCAUGGUCAUUUCACAAUAAACGAGAGAUCAGACGGCAAAAUGGACAUCACUUUUGAACUCAGGACGGUUGAAAAUCUUAGGAGGAGCAUAAAAGGAAAAAUGACACUGUUCACAUGUACGGUACUGUCUAUGUUACUAUUCACGACACUGUUCACAUAGACGGAUCGAUGAUGUGGCAUUGACCGAUGAUGUGGCAUUGACUGAUGAGGUGUCACGAUCCUGUUGGACUAAAAUUCUUAUGCACUGUUGAUUGAUGACGUGGCAGCAUAUCAGUGGACCAAAAAUCUCGCGUACGGUACAUGCAUUAUACAGGAUUAUUUUCAACCAAACUGAGUCACUGUUCAACUCGGGGCAAACCGUGUUACUGUUCAUCCAAGUGGUCAAACCGCAUACUGUUGACUGAUAACGUGGCGCAAUCCUGAGCGUCCAAACUGUUUUUAAUCCGAUGGCCACGAUUUACUUAAUGUAUCUACAAAAAGGGGGCCUCCCCUCUAAUUUGAUACCUCUGAAUCCAUUUUUUGGAUCCAUUUUCUAUAAUUCCUUCUCCAUCUUGUAUUUUCUACGUAUUUUAAUAAAUUUCUAUUUUGCCCCUAGUUCAAUUAUGAGUAACUAAUUUUCUUUCAAGCUUGGGUUGAAGGUGAAGUCUCAACAUGUGUCAUGGGCUUUAUUUGGUAAAUUUAUUUUCUCUUCCCCUCUAGUUUUUGUGGAUGUUUUGACUUCUCGUCGAUAAAUAAUAAUAAUAUUGUUUAGUACCGCCUUGGUUUCACCGGCUCCCUAAUACAAAGUUAUUAUUAUUUGGCACGAUAAGCCCUUAGCACCAUAUUGAUUAGAGCGUAGUUCAUGAGGUGUGAAUUCCCCCCUCAUGAUUUAAUUGGUAUUAAUAAGGAAUAUUUAGCCCAUGGUGCAUUUGAUAUGAAUUCAAAUACCCAAGUACGUCAAUUUAAUAGAUUUUCACUUUAAUUUCUUCUCGCCAUUUCAAUUCCAAUUUUUAGGAUAAUUUAAAUCACUUCCACCACAAAUCCAACCACCUCAUACAAAAUUAAUUCUAUAUAUAAUUAAAAUCCACCUCCUCGUGAGAUCGACACUCGUCACUAUUAGUCUAUUAUACAAUAGAUUCGUAAGCUUGCGAGUUCAAUAAAAUUUGCACAACAAGUUUUUGGCGCCGUUACUGGGGAGGUAAGUUAUUUUAAUUUGUAGAAUUAAUUUUUGUCAAUAAUUUCUUUUAUUUGUUUUCUUUUUUUUUCUUAUUAAAAAAAAGGGAAAAAAGAGAGUGAAUUUGCAUUGAGAGAUUAGUAUUUCUUUUCUUUUUCUCUUCUUUAAAAUUCUGUAAUUUAAUUUUCAAGUUAUUUUUUUCUUCUUUGUAAUUUUUGUUUAUCUUACUAAUUUUUUUAAGUUAAUUUAUUUCACGUAUUUUUUUGUGUGUAUUUUUAUAGUAAGGUUGUAAUAGCGCGAUAAGGUUAGUAUCGUAAUUUCUCCCUCUUCUUUAUUUUUAUUUGUUUUGUUCCCAUCUUUAUUUUUAUUUUAUUUGUUUUACAUGCAUAGUCGAAGAUCAUUAUUACCUAAUCUUAAACCUAUAGACCUGGAACUAGAAAAAAUACUUCGCACACACAAGCACGUUAAAAAUAAAUUUGGAAUGGAUUUACAAGUACCACAAGAGAGGCCAUUUAAGGACUAUUUUAGUCCUUUAGCUAAUUUGAGCACAUCAUGUAUAAGAUACUCAAAUGUAGCUGCUACGAGUUUUGAACUAAGACCUAGUCUGCUAAAUUGUCUCCCAACAUUCUAUGGCCUAGAAAAUGAGGACCUUUAUAAUUAUUUGAAUGAUUUUCAUACUAUUUGUCAAACAUUUAAAUAUGAGAAUUUUUCAUAUGAUGAUGUAAAACUUAGACUAAUCCCAUUUUCUUUAAAGGAUAGAGCUCGUUCAUGGUUUAAUAUAUUGCCUGCUAAUACCAUUUCAUCAUGGGAACAAAUGGUAACGAAAUUUUUAAAUAAAUAUUUCCCAGUGCAUAAAACUAAUGCUAUUCGCAGGGAAAUUUCAAAGUUUACCCAUAGAGAAGAUGAGCAGUUUUUCGAAACAUGGCAGUAAUUUAAUGGGCUACUCUUGAAGUGUCCACAUCAUGGGUACGAGAAAUGACACCAAUGCCAAUACUUUUUGGAGGGAUUGUUGCUGAAUGUGUAAGAAUGACUAAUGGCAACAAGUGGAGGAGAGCUAAUGUCAAAAAGUGCAUCAGAGAUUUGGGAAUUCUUCUAGCGACAAGUGGAUAAUUCCCAACAACGGAGUCGAUCACUCAGGAAUACUAGAAGAAUUAAGGGAGUGAAUGAGGUUCACAUUGACGAGUCAACUUCAGGAAUCAAAGAAGUCAAGGAGAUGGUUGAAGGUAUCGCUCGACAAAUAGCAUCAUUAUCGACUGCUAAAUCAACAGAGCCACAUGACCAUGACUCAUACUCAGAUCAAGCCAAUACCAUAGGUGUAAUGAGAAGCCAUCAAAUUACAACCCAUACUCCAACACAUAUAACCCAGGAUGGAGAGACCACCCCAAUUUUUUAUGGUCUCAAGGAUUCCAACAGAAUGAAGCAGCAGCUCCAGCUCCACCAAUGCAACGAAUUCCUCAAGUUCCUCAAGCCUCUCAGCCACCAUUUAGACCAUACAAUCAGAACCAGAACUACUCUCAACCCAGACCAUGGGAGGAUGCAUUCCAGAAUUUCAAGAAUGUUACUCACUCUACGAUUGAGCAACAGAACCGCACCAUUGAUAGACUACGAAAUGAGUUGAGAGCAGGUUUCAACUCACAAGCCCAAUCAGUUUCAAGCCUUGAGAAGAUGGUGGGACAACUUGUUUCUUCAGUUCAGACCUUGGCAAUGACCGUUGAGAAAGGUAAAUUUCCAAGUCAACCAGUGCCUAAUCCUAAAGGAGUACAUGAUGCAAGUACUAGUUCACCACAGCAGCAUGGAGAGGUAAAAGUUGUCAUGACUUUGUGAAAAGAAAAAGAAGUCGACAACAAAGUGGAGAUGUAGGUGAUAAAAGAAAAUCAAAUUGUACCUGUAAAUGUUGAGGACUCAUCACCGGAGGAGAAAGAAGAAACGAACCUACGAGAAUAUGUUCCUAAAUCUCCAUUUCCUCAGAGGUUAGUAAAAGGAAAAAAGGAAAAAUUCACAGGUGAGAUUCUUGAAAUCUUCAAACAGGUAAGUGUUAACAUCCCUUUGUUUGACGCUAUAAAACAAGUUCCAUCUUAUGCUAAGUUUCUUAAAGACCUUUGUAUUAAAAAGAGAAACAUUCAUGUUCAAAAGAAGGCAUUUUUGACAGAAAACGUUAGUUCUAUACUCCAACAUAAAAUUCCUCUAAAAUGCAAAGACCCAGGCUCCCCCACUAUCUCAUGUAGUAUAGGGAACCACACAAUUGAAAAUGCUUUGUUGGAUUUAGGAGCUAAUGUAAAUCUGUUGCCUUAUUCAGUUUUCGUGAAACUUGGAUUGAGAGAAUUACACCCAACUCCAGUGGGGUUGCAGCUUGCAGAUCGGUCCACGAAAAUACCUCGUGGCAUUAUGGAAGACGUGCUUAUCCAGGUAGACAAGUUUUAUUUUUCUGUUGAUUUCAUUGUAAUUGACACUCAACCAAUUCAGGAUUCAAGGAAGCACAUCCUCAUUAUUCUAGGCCGACCUUUCUUGGCAACUGCAAAUGCUCACAUUCAAUGCAGGACUAGAAAUAUGCAGUUGUCCUUCGGCAACAUGACUAUGGAGCUGAACAUCUUCAACAUUGCCAAAUAACCUCACAAUGCAGAUGAUAAAAUUGUUGAUGCGGAUUUAAUAGAAACAUUAGUUGAUAAUACCUUUGUUUCAAACCUUAGUGAUGACCCUUUACAAACAUGUUUAACUCAUUUUGGUUUGGAUUUUGAUAUUGACAGAUCAGUCGAUGAGGUCAACGAAUCACCGUUUAAUUCCAGAAACGAGAUUAUGUGUCUGUCCGUUUACCCUUUCACCGUUUGCCACAAUCGGUGAACCGUUUUUCAACAGAGAGUCCUCUAACAGUUACUCCUUAGCCGUUAAGCGCUUAGGCUUUCACCGUUUCCCUUUCUUCAGCCUCUGGAAGUUACCCUUUAACCGUUUUCGCGAAGUCUAAAAUCUGUUCAAAGGUUUUCUUCUCCUUCUCCAGUUACCCUUUCACCGUUUCCUCCAUUGUUGCGCAGCCGAAGGUUUCUUUGUCCUCAAAUCCUCAUUUUUUCUUGCUUUCCUUGCCAAAUCAAACCUUCAAAAUUAUUUCUUAUCACCUUUAGAACAAUUCUACCGAUUCAAAACUUCAAAUCGAGCCCAAAAUUAAAAAAUCCCAAAUCUAAACCCUAACUGUCGCGGGUCGGGUUUCUUCAUUCUUAAUCCGAUUUCCACAUUUCUUCAACCAAAUUGAACAUCCUACUCACAUCCUCUACUCUUCUUUAAACCUUUUAUCGAUUUACUUUCGUCCCAUUACGUGUUUCCAUGGCUGAACCCUCUCGGAGAAAUCCCAGGCGUAAAUCUGUGCCCCCAAUGAAUCCCAUACCACCUCGGGAGGUCUCUGAGUUUUCAAGGAUUCACUUCCCCACACCUGCCUUGGCUAAGCGGUUCGAAGAUCGCUUUGAUGGUCGAAAGGUACUUGAUCCUUUUUUUGUUGAUAUUGAUAAUUUCCGCAACUUAGUUGUAUGUGGUAGAAGCAUUAGGGAUAUGCUUCAGCCUUGGGAGGCUGCCAUUGAUUUUGAUGACCGAGUUUAUCCAAACUUAGUGCGAGUCUUUUAUUCGAACAUGGAAAUCUCCGACACUCGCCUAAAUAGGAUAGUUACUCAUGUCGGCCGUGUGCCAAUAGAGUUUGAUGAUGCGGACCUAGCUGACCUUCUUGGUAUCUCUUGUGAGGGGCUUGAUAUUUACACCUCUAGGAAAGCCCUCUCCUUUGAUAGUUUUUCUCAUACUCAUGGCGUCCGUAAUAUAUGUCGUCGUCAAGACUUAUCGGAUGAGAUUUGUUUGCUUCCGUUUCGGUCUCAACUUUUACCUCUCCAAGUUCGUAUUCUUCACACUAUUUUACAGCACAUAGUGACUCCUAGGAAGGGUCACUCGGAUGAGGUUACGAGGUUGGACGUUCCCUAUUAGAUAGCCUUCUUACAGACCGUCCCAUUAACCUCGGGUAUAUUAUUGUGCGACAUAUGUUGAGUACUCCAGCGAUCAACCAUCGCUUGCUUCCUUAUGGCAGUAUCAUCACUAAAAUACUGCGACGCUUUGAGGUGCCACUUCUUGAUAUUGGACAUAUGGAGACUCGACGGAUUGGUUCCGAGGCCAUGACCAGUAUCGGAUUCUCUAGAAAGAAUGGAGUGUGGAUAAAGACAAGCAACUCCAAAAACCGGGAUACCUUGAUUGCUCCAGAGGACGAUCGGAUGCUCAAUGAUGUCUAUUCUCCCGAUCAGCUUCUUGACUUUAGAUUAGGAGCUCAUCCUCAUCCUCCGCGUCGCCAUUUUUUCCCUCGGCCUCCAGCUGACUCAGACUUUGAGGAGCGUGCGAUGGAUGCUGAUAUUCCCUCCUCUUCCGAGCCGCCUCCUGCUCCUGAGCCUUAUGCUGUUCCCGAGCAGCCAUCUGCCUCUAUGCCGCCUCCAGCUCCAGUUCAGCCCCUUGCUUCAGAUGCAGUGCAGCAGCUGAUUACUGAUGUUCAGCGGAUUUCGGAGCGACAGCAGCUGAUUCUUGAUCGGUUGGACAUCAUUUCCCGUGAUCACCAGCAGCUCCGCUCUGACUUUCAGAUUUUCCAGCAGCAGAGCAUUGACCAGUAGCUCAAGCUUAUCGCCGGACAGCGCACUCUUCUCAGCUAUUUCGGCUAUGAUCCGGGGAGCACAUCUUCUCCGCCUCCAUAGUUUCUGAGUUCUGUUUUCGCACAUACAUUUUUCCAUUUUGGUUGUUAGCUUUUUCAUACUUCGUAUAUGGAUUUUGAUGCAUAUGUGUGUGAUGUUCUUGAUGAUUAGAUGAUUGAUGCUUUGUGAUUGAAUAAUUGUUGGUAUGUUUGUGGAUAUUGAAGUGUUCUUUUGUUUUGAUCAUGGAGUUGUUGGCUUGUUGAAAGAAGAAGUUGGUGUCAAUCUAUUUUUUGAAGUGUUCUAUCUCAUUUUGUAUAAGUGGUUUUGAUCAUUUUUAAGGGGAAACUCUGCCAAAAUUUUCGCUCGCCAAAGCCGGGCAACUUCUUUAAUGGAUUUGUGUAUUUCUUAUUUCUUCUUUUCUUUUUGAUGAUGAAGGGGGAGAUAAUUAUGGUUUUUAAGAUGGUUUUUAAAUGGGGAGAUAUUAUUUUAAGAUGGAUUUAAAAUGGGGAGAUUUAAAGAAAAAAUCCUUUUAUUCAUAUUUCUCAAUUUGUCCAUACAUGUAGGGGGAGCACAUAUUAAGGGGGAGCUAAACAUUGAAUGAAAUUUGUCAUCAUAAAAAAUGGGGAGAUUGUUAACAUAAAUAUGUUAAUAAUAUUGAUUUUGAUGAUAACAAAUUUUAUAUGGUUUUUGACAAAAAUAUUGGAGAUAUUUCUUAAUAAACGAAAGCCCUUUUAUUCAUUGCCUUAUUUUUUCAUAAAAGAUGGACUUUCAAAUUAGAAAGAGAUUCUCUACAAAAAAAAAAACUCGUUUAAAAUUGCAAUUCUGGUUAUAAACGGUUAACCAUUUUAAACGAUUAAAGGCAGAGAGCAACAUAUUUCCUAAACCUUUAACCGUUUAUGAAAAACGGAAAACACAAAAGAUGGGAAGGUUACUGGAACUUAACGGUGAACCGUUUAUUUUAAACGGUUAACCGAUUAACACCAGAGAGCGACAUAAUGCCUAAAGCUCUAACCGUUUAUGAAAAAUGGAAAUCACCAAGAAUGGAAAGGCUACUGGAACUUAACGGUGAACCGUUUAUUUUAAACGGGUAACCGAUAAUGUCCAGAAUUGAAGGUUGUCCUCCUCUGGCACUGAUUAACGAAAAAUGAUAAGGCUAAAUUAUUUUGCAGGUUACUGGAGACAAACGGCGAACUGUUUAUUUCAAACGGUUAACCGAUAAUAUCCAGAAACGUUACUUCACGCAAGUUCUUAACCGUUUAGCGUAAACGGAUAACAAAUGCUCAUCUUGCAGGUCUCUGGUAGUUAACGGCUAAAGGUUAAUUACAAACGGCAAACCGUUUAUUUGAAAUCUAGCCCAACGGUAACUUUGACCAACCGAAACGGUUAACCGUUUAGGGUUAACGGCGAACCAUUUUCUGUCCGACAGUUUGUAACGGCUAGAUUUUCAGCUCCAGAUAUAAAUAAGCUCAUUCAAAUUCAAAGAAGGUUGAUCACAACACGACCAUUUUGAGCUAAUAUUCGAGAAUGCAAUCUUCAUAGAGCUUAGAACACAUUAUUGCUUCAUCUAUUCACAUAUUAAGCAUCAUUGUGUAAUCUUAUAUAUUGUGAGAGGUAAAACAGUUUGUAAUCUUUUACUUUGAGUGAUUGUAAGUGUUGGGAUACACUUGGGUUAAGAGAUUGGGGAUAAUCUCUUGUUGUAAAGGUCCAUUGACACCUUGGAAGUCAAGUGUAAGCAUUUGAAGCCUUGGAGGCUUGCUUAGUGGAAUCCUCAAGCCCGGAAAGCUUGGAGGCGUGGACGUAGGCGAGGUUGGCCGAACCACGUAAAAAUCUCGGUGUUUGAAUCCCUCUUCCCUUAUCUUUUUAUAUUGUGAUCAUCUUAAUUGUUAUUGCUUUGAAUUUGAUUUAUAAUUGCAUUAAGAUUUUCUUUAAUAAAUUGAAUAAUUUUUUAGAAUCCCAAUUCACCCCCCCUCUUGGGUUGCAUACUUGUAUUUCAUAUUUUCCACAUAUACCGGUAUAGUCUCUGACUUUUCUUUUACACUGCUAUCAUCUUCAUCUCUCGUUUGCAGUUGAUCUUCUAUAAAGAUAACAUCUCUGCUGAUGAUGAUCUUGUGGGCAGUGGGGUCCCACAGACGAUACCCUUUUACUCCAUCAGCAUAUCCCAAGAAGAUACAUCUUCUAGAUUUUGGAUCCAGUUUUGUUCUUUCUUGGGCAUUGUACAUCACGUACACAGGACAUCCAAAUGCAUGUAGGUAGGAAUAAUCAGCUGGCUUUCCAGUCCACAUCUCCAUCGCUGUCUUCAGCCCAAUAGCUGUAGAUGGCGACCGAUUUACUAUAUAACAAACAGUUUUGGCUGCUUCUGCCCAAAAUGAAUUGGGUAGACCAGCAGUCCUCAACAUAGCUCUUAUUCUUUCUGUAAGAGUUCUGUUCAUCCGCUCCGCCACUCCGUUUUGUUGAGGAGUGUAUGCUACAGUGAACUGUCUCUGAAUACAUUCUUGCUUACAGAAAGCAAGAAACUCGCCGUCUGUAUACUCUCCACCAUUAUCCGUCCUCAAUUACUUGAUCUUUUUACCAGAUUCAAGUUCCACCCGCGCUUUGUAUUCUUUAAACACUGGAAAUACAUUUGACUUUUUUUUAAUUGGAUACACCCAACAUCUUCUGGAAUAAUCAUCAAUGAAAGUCACCAUGUACUUUGCACCUCCCAUGGAUAUAUCCGGUGAUUCCCAAACAUCAGAAUGAAUCAAGUUUAGAAUGCAUUUACUUCUAGCAAUAGAUCUACUAAAUUUUAAUUUAUGCUGCUUACUUGUAACACAAUGCUCGCAAAAUGGUAAACUUACCGAUUUGAGCCCCGGAAGCAAUUUUCGCUCAGAGAGAAUCUUCAAGCCUUGUUCUGACAUGUGGCCAAGUUUGAGAUGCCACAUCAUCGUUGACUCUUCUCCAUUUGAUGCGACACACGCAUCAGCCUCCUGUAGUGUUUCUCCUUUAAGCAUGAAUAGAUUAGCACUGAUCUUUUCUGCAUUCAUCAAUACAAGCGCGCCUUUAACGAUCUUCAUAAUUCCAUUCUCCACAUGAGUUUUGUACCCAUGACUAUCCAUUUGUCCCAAAGACAAAAGAUUUUUCUUCAGGCCGUUGACAUGGCGUACCUCCCCAAUUGUGCGAAUUGUACCAUCAAACAUUUUUAUUUUGAUAGUACCAAUACCAGCGAUCUCCAAGGCAUGAUCAUUACCUAUAUAUACAGAUCCUCCUGAGAUAGGUUCAUAUGUGUGGAACCAUUCUCUCCGAGAGGUCAUGUGCCAGGUAGCUCCUGAGUCUAUAAGCCAGACAUCAGAUAGUCGUUUUCUGCCUUUUGAAACAAUUGUUGCCUCGCUGUAAAGAAUUUCGCCAUCAUCCGAGGUACUUGCUAUACACCCUUGAGCAUUUGAUGACUCAGGUUUUUUGCCCUCUUUUCUCUUCUGGUUACUCCAACACUCUUUCUUGACGUGCCCUUUCUUGCCACAGUUGUAGCAUUUAACAUUCUUCUUACUUCUGGAUUUUGAUCUACCAUGAUUUUGACUCCCACUAGGGCCACGUUCCGUUGAUCUCCCUCUCGUCACCGAUAGCGCCUCCGUUUGCUGUGAACUUACUUGUCUGUUUUCCUUAUUUUUUCGCCUGCUCUCCUCAUUUAAUACGGAGGCUGCAACAUCGUCAAAAACUAGACUGUCCACUGGAUUAUUGUUCGUCAGGUUGAUGAUGAGUUGAUCAUACGAAUCUGGUAGACUUUGAAGUAGAAGCUCUGCACGUUCAUUUUCCUCUAUAUUAUGACCCAACGUUGUGAGUUGUGAAAAUAGAGUCUUCAAGGUGUUGAUGUGGUCGGUCACCAUUGUAGAUUCCGCCAUUCGAAGAGUAUAAAGUUUCCUCUUCAAGAAAAUUUUGUUGUGUAGUGACUUGGCCUCGUACAAUUUUGUGAGAGUAUCCCAAAUUUCCUUCGUUGUGUUUUUCUCUGCCACACUGGAUAAUACUCCGUCUGCAAGUGCCAAGUGUAGAUCAGAAAUGGCGUUGCCGUCUACCUCGUUCCACUUGUCAUCAGUUAUCUCCAUGGGCCUUUCUCCAAUUGCUGCCAAGCAAUUAUUUUUCCUCAAUACAGCUUUCAUCUUCAUUUUCAACAAUGAAAAAUUAUUUCCGUUAAACUUCUCAAUUUCAUACUUUGCCACCAUUUUGUUGAUAAAUACCGCACACAAGCUAGUGUACCACCUUGAAUAGUUGUGAGUAUGUGUGAGAAUGCACACCAGGAAAGUUCCCAGGAAAGACUGGAGGGGUCACAAUGGUCCCACUUAAAACCCAGACUCAUUAAGCUCUUAUCGCCUUUGUGAUAGAACUUUCCUAGACAUGUACAAAACCACACAGUUGCUAUUACUCACACCACUAUUCUCUGCUUUGCAUCACAAAAUUCUUGGAUCGCUUCCACCGUUUCUUGUGAAUAGUACCGUAUACGUGAACAUUACCGUUUACGUGAAUAGUACCCCUUACGUGAACAGUACCCGACUCCAAAAAUACAACCAAUAGCUCUGAUACCACUGUUAGGAAAUUGGUAGGUGAAGCAGACACGCAGCUAGAAUAAAAUUGAAAGAAAAAUAAAGAACAAGUACAAAAAAUGGACACCAGAAAUUACGUGGUUCGACUUUUAGCCUACAUCCACGGGCGAAGACAGAAGGAAAUAUUUUACUAGUGAAAAGGAGUUACAAGUAUUGUAGUAUUUUAGCUCACUUCCCAAAAUCCCAAUACACCCAAACUCUCAGAACACUAAUCACUCAAGAGUUUAUUAAACUCUUAAUACUCUCAACACUAAAAGAAAGCAAUAUUUCUCUCUCGAUGGAAUUGGAUACAAGCUCUAGAUUGAGAGCUUGUAUUUAUAGGCAAAAAUUUGCCUCAAAUGUCAAACAAGUGGCCAUAAACUUCAAGCCAUACAUCUUAAAAAUUUCAAACUUUGAAUUUUUAGCUUUGAAUUUUUCUUUUCUUUUACCAAACAUUACGGCAUCUAGAAUUUCAAAGCCAAGUGCCAACCAUUCUUGUUUAUUCAAAGCUUCUAGAUGCAGCCAAUUUUGACAAUUACACAUAUAUAAGAGUAUGUCGUCAGGUCCAUACUAGUAUUUUUACACAAGCGGUCACCUCAAUUGCUUUAGGAGCAAGAUGAGAUGAGACAAGUAGAAUAAUAAAACAAUAUUUUUGUGUGAGAGCCAAAUAAAAAGCGUUAUUCUACAAGUUUUUUUGCCUUGACUAGAAUCAAGAGGUCUCACACGAUUUUCAUUAUAGACUGACUAUGAUAUACCCCACCAUCAUGGAGACUUCAUUGAAGCCAGAUGUGAGAUCUUUACUUUUUACGCUAGAAGAGAGCGUUCAUUCUAAAAGAGUGACUAGACUAAGAUCUAUAGUCCUGGAAUGGAAAAUUUAUCGUAACGAGUGUAUCAUACCAUGCGUGCUUGGUAAUCAAAAUGGAAAAUGAAAGAAUCUUCAAUCUUUCUAAUUGUGUAAGUUCCAUAUAACUUUUUAUAAGUCAAUCCUGGUAUCAUCUUCUUCUCUUCUUCGUGAAGAUUAAAAUUAAGAACAUUGAACAAUCCAUAAAAAGGGCAUUUAUACUGUGAUUAGAUAAGGAUUUCCGCUUGCGAUUUCUUCUGACCAUUAACAUGAUCCAGUACUCGAUUACUCCGCUGCUGAAUUCAAUAAGAAAAAUAUUUCUAGAAUUUUCAUUUUUCCUUCAGACCAUGUAAGAAGCAUACGAACAGGAUGAUCCGGAGUCAAAAGGUGAACGAGGUGACGGCUCGUCCGUUAGUACUAUUAAUGUAUAAGGUAAUAUGGGAAUUACUAAUAAUUAAUCGACUAGCUGAUUUGUUAGUUAUGAUUAUCAAUGACGGUCUAUUUCCUGCCCAUAUUUUACCAUGCUGUUGAAUGGUCCCCUUAAAAUAAUCCAGAUCAGUCAUUUGCAUAAAAAUAUAUCAUGAGCGGUUAGGUGGAGGAUGCUGAUUUGUUAGAAAAUAAUUGUUUUCAACUCUUGCGAUUGUCUGCACCCUGCACUCUUGUUCCAAAACCAAUACAAAACUGUAGCAAUCUUAAGAGGAUUUGUGGAACAAAAGAUGGCCAAGAUUGGAGGUUCUCUGCUUGUUCCUUGUGUUCAAGAGUUGGUCAAGAAUCCUAUGUUAGUUGUCCCUCCUAGAUACAUUUGUCCGGACGAAGAUUCACCACUCAAUUCUGAUGAUACUUUGAUUUCACAGAUACCAGUUAUUGACAUGCAGAGCUUGCUUUCUGAAGAAUCAAUGGAUUCUGAGUUAGCCAAGCUCGACUUCGCUUGCAAAGAAUGGGGUUUUUUCCAGGUAAAAUGCUUUAGCAGAGUUAGAAAGAUUUUUCAUGCUUGUCUGUGAUUUAAGAAUCAUGAAAUCUGCAAAACUCUCAGUCACAAAAUAUCUAUUUUUGAAACCCAGUUUCCAUUGAUUUAGCAUGUCAUGAUUUCAAAUUUUCCCAUCUAGUCCUUUUGCUGCUUUCAGUGCUUCUACGACUGCAGCUUGUGAAAUGUCAAGGAAGUUGUCUCUUGUUUUAUUGUACAAUUUAUGAGGCGAUAUGAGAAGAAAACACUCACCAUUUAUUUCUGAAACCCAGAUUCCAUUGAUAUAUUUGUUUUUGACUUGCUUUAUUACUUUACCUUUCCAUAUAGCCAUAGAUUUGUUAGUAUAAUUUGUAUUAAAAGAUGCCCAUGACAAAGUUCACCUAUUUUGUCUCAAUAGCUUUUGGUAGCUUAUGAGAAAUAUGCUUCUGUCAAUAUGUGAUUAAAGAUAUAGUAAAUUGUAUAAGACUCCCGCAGAUUAUUAGCUGUUCUAGAAUAUUCAAAUUUCUCCAAAACUAUGAGUAAAAAACACUUGUAAAAAUCAAUCAUUGAUUAGAUUUAUAAACAAAAUAAAAUUGGUGUUUAAUGCAACAGCAAUGUUCUCAGUUGAAAUGUAACAAAUGCUUUUAGCCAUCUUUGAUAGCAAAUCUUGUCUCUAAAUUAGUCAAAUAAGUUGCAAUCUGUCUUCAUAAAACGCCUGGACGAUUGUGAACCUAGUGGCACGAUUAUCAAAUCUUAGCUGCUGUUCAUUCCUGCGUAAUUUCAGCUGGUAAACCAUGGAGUAAGCUCAGCAUUUCUAGAGAAAGUGAAGAAAGAGGUUAAGGGCUUCUUCAAUCUCAGCAUGGAAGAAAAGAAAAAAUAUUGGCAGCAUCCAGGAGAUGUAGAAGGAUUUGGACAAGCCUUUGUUGUAUCUGAGGAACAAAAGCUUGAUUGGGCUGACAUUUUCUCCAUGAUCACUCUUCCAGUUCAUCUGAGGAAGCCACACUUAUUUCCUAAGCUCCCUCCUUCCCUCAGGUUCUCUCUUUUUGUGGUUGAUAUGGAUUUGCAAACAAAAAGGGAAAAUUAAACCUUCUAUGAUUCUAUCUAAUGUUUUACCUUCUUUUUUCUUGUAGAGACACCUUGGAAGUUUACUCGAUGGAGUUAAAAUCUCUGGCCAUGAACCUGAUAUCGAAAAUGGGAAAAGUUUUAAAUAUCAAAGAUGAAGAAUUGAGAGAAUUCUUUGACAAUGGUUUCCAAUCAAUGAGGAUGAACUAUUACCCUCCAUGUCCUCAGCCAGAAAAGGUUAUGGGCCUCACCCCUCAUUCUGAUGGCUCUGCUCUUACCAUUCUGCUACAAAUCAAUGAAGUAGAAGGUCUCCAGAUCAAGAACGAUGGAAAAUGGAUUCCUAUCACACCGCUGCCAAAUGCUUUCAUUGUCAACAUCGGAGACACAUUGGAGGUAAUAAUUAUGAUUACUUUCCUUGGCAUUUUUAUGUCCCUUCUCAUGUGCUCUAAUAUUUUUAACAUUGCAGAUUAUGACCAAUGGGACAUACCGUAGCAUUGAACAUCGUGCAAUUGUGAACUCUAUACAAGAAAGACUUUCCAUUGCCACAUUUUACACAAAGAGAUUAGAUGGUGAAAUAUAUCCAGCAUCCAGUUUGAUAUCUGAAAAAACUCCUGCAUUGUUUCGAAGAGUGACAGUUGAAGAAUACUUUAGGAGCCGGUUUGCUCGUGAGCUUAGGGGAAAAUCUCACCUGGAUGACCUGAGAAUUCAACAUGGUCGAGGCUAGUACAAUUAUUUUGGAUAAUUGCAGAUUUGUGCCAGGAAUUUUCUGAUGAUAAUUGUGCUUAUUUUGGAUCAGUUUCUUUCAUUUUUGGAAUAGAAUUUUUGCAGGCUUGUCAUGUUUUUAUCAGAUUUCAAGAACUAUUUCACUUGCUUUCGGAGUUAAAGAUGAUUCAAAUAUGAUAUUAAAUACUUAAGCAUGCCAUUCUAACGCUUGCUUGUCCAAUUACAUCC